rnacentral:rRNA from 1 species
GUGAGGAAUAUUGCGCAAUGGAGGCAACUCUGACGCAGCCAUGCCGCGUGCAGGAAGAAGGCGCUACGCGUUGUAAACUGCUUUUAACCGGGAAGAAACCCCAGGACGUGUCCUGGGUUGACGGUACCGGAGGAAUAAGCACCGGCUAACUUCGUGCCAGCAGCCGCGGUAAUACGAAGGGUGCAAGCGUUAUCCGGAUUCAUUGGGUUUAAAGGGUGCGUAGGCGGAGCGUUAAGUCAGUGGUGAAAUCCUGCAGCGUAACUGUAGACUUGCCAUUGAUACUGGCGCUCUUGAGUGCGCUUGAAGUGGGCGGAAUGUGCCGUGUAGCGGUGAAAUGCUUAGAUAUGGCACAGAACACCAAUUGCGAAGGCAGCUCACUAAGGCGAUACUGACGCUGAGGCACGAAAGCGUGGGGAUCGAACAGGAUUAGAAACCCCAGUAGUCC